rnacentral:rRNA from 1 species
CGGAAAGGCAUAUCCUCACUCAUACUCUUGGCGGCCAGGCUCAGUUGGAAGCAUCGAAAUUCUUGCGUCUUCGACAGCGCCACUCCCUCUACCUCCUAGCUACUCCAUGACAUCAAGGAGGAGGCACGCUCCUCGGCCAAGGCAGGGGCCACCGGUCUGGCCGCCAUUACAUCGUAG